rnacentral:rRNA from 1 species
CCAAGGAGUCUAACAUGUGCGCGAGUCGUAGGGUUACGCUCAAAGCCCGAAGGCGCAAUGAAAGUGAAGGUCGGCCUCGAUUGCCGUUUACCUAGGCGGGAUCCGUUCGGGCUUACCGGUCGUUCGCGGCUGAGCCCGGCGGCGCACCGCCGGCCCGUCUCGACCGCAUCGCCGGUGAGGCGGAGCGAGAGCGUACACGUUGGGACCCGAAAGAUGGUGAACUAUGCCCGGGCAGGACGAAGCCAGAGGAAACUCUGGUGGAGGUCCGUAGCGAUUCUGACGUGCAAAUCGAUCGUCGGACCUGGGUAUAGGGGCGAAAGACUAAUCGAACCAUCUA